AUACGGAGGAUGCGAGCGUUAUCCGGAUUUAUUGGGUUUAAAGGGUGCGUAGGCUGUGCGUUAAGUCAGGGGUGAAAUGCCGUCGCUCAACGACGGAGCUGCCCUUGAUACUGGCGUGCUGGAGUACGGAUGCCGUUGGAGGAAUGAGUGGUGUAGCGGUGAAAUGCUUAGAUAUCACUCAGAACACCGAUUGCGAAGGCAUCCGACGAAUCCGUCACUGACGCUGAGGCACGAAAGCGUGGGGAUAGAACAGGAUUAGAUACCCUGGUAUUCCACGCCGUAAACGAUGAUGACUAACCGUCGGCGAUAGACAGCCGGUGGCCAAGCGAAAGCGAUAAGUCGUCCACCUGGGGAGUACGUCGGCAACGAUGAAACUCAAAGGAAUCGACGGGG
rnacentral:rRNA from 1 species